CGAGCACGGGGUCGGGUGGCUCCUUGGCCGUCACUCGUCGCGCAACCGCACAGACCCCGCCAAUUCGGAUCCUAGCUAUGGCGCCGUUUCCCCGGUUAUUUUCCCCGACUUUACGCCCAAGCUCCGUCUGCUUUUCGCGCCUAGGUGUAUACAGCAUGUACAGCAGAGUUGCGUCAACUUUCACCCUUCACUCACACCAAGAACAAUGGAUCAGUUAUUGACUUUCUCGUAGUGUCCUUCCGGAAGCGAUACGGUUUAACGAAUUACAUAAUGAUAAUAAGGAAUAUCAUUCACCCAAGCAUAAAACACACCAAAAUACCUAAUGUCCAUGAGGGGAGCUCGGCCGAUUCGCUAACGUGUGUCAGCUGGUGCUGACUCGGCUAAGCUUAGUCCUUCCUCGCCGUGGUGCCCAGCCACAGCAGUAACCUCCAGGUGACAAUUGCAACUUCUCGCGCAUGGGCGGGGCGUAAACCACCGACCCCUCGGAUGAGAGGCCGACACGUUACCACUGUACUAGCCCAGAGGCU